UCAGCCUUGAUUUCUCAAAAUACAGUGACCAAACGUACCCUUUCGUCAAUUCUUAAAAUACAGCGACCAAAUGAACCCUAAGCCUUCAACUAGCAAACGUUGAGCCCCAACGGUAUGAAAAGCCAUUUUUGGCUAGCUUUUGGCAUGCCUCUGUUCAUCCAGAGGUUUGUUCGCCUAUUUCCGGAAAGGAAUUAAAUGCACCCUUGUCUUCUUCUCUUUUCCAAAAUUAUUUUGAUUUCUCCUUUUCUUUGGUGAAGAUUCAGAUUUCAAACAUGGUUCAACAAAUAUUCAGUAUUGAAAUCCGUCCCACAUCGAAUUUUAACCUAAAAUUUGAACAUUUUGGGGUUCUAUGUAAAGAAUCCCAUUCUCUUCAUUUACGGACGAAGUUUUUUUUGACAACCACAAAAAAUAUGUUUUCACACCCCAAGUUCUGAACUUUUCAAUUUUUUAGCUUUAAACAAGAAAUUUUCUCUUGUAUGCUGAGUUUUUGAAUCAUAGGAACAAAUUAAAAAAAAGUCGAGUUCGAAUUCGUUGUUGGUGAAAUGUCGAAGGUGAUCGGUUUAACUCUCGUCGCCCCCAUCGCUGCUCGACAAAAGGUACAAAUAAAGUGAAGUUGUGGAGGAAAGCUUAAAGAAGAAGUAAAAGAAUCGGAUGCUUAGAGCUUUGGAUAAGGAAUCAGCAAACGUGGAAUAAUCGCGAUUAAAGGUCCAAGAAGGCAAGGAGACAGUAUUAGCUAUUCUAGUCUUUCUCCAACUUCCCCUCUCUCCCUCUCUUUAUUUGUCUUUUGUAAAUUUGUAUACAUACAUGACUUGUAAAUUCUUGUGUAUUAUUGAAACCCAUAGUUAGAAUUUAGUUAAAACAA